GUUUUUCUGUGCUGCUUACGCAGAUGGAACCAGUCCCGCAGGCACUCAAGAGGAUAUUUGCUGUAUUUGGUGUGGGAUCCUUUGGUGAAGGAGUCUGUACCACGGUGUUAACAGUUUUGGCAACUGACUGUGAAAAAACAACCCCUGAACUUUACUACUUGUCUGUGCUGCUGUCGGUGAGCAGCUUGGUUUCUACAGGUAAGCACAGCUUCCCAAAUAAUCCAUCCUGGUCAAAAGCUUACCAGUCCUUCUGGGAAGUAACUGCUCAACUAGGGUUGUCACAUUGCAAAGAGAAGCCCUGGUUCCUCUCAAAGCAGGAGCUCCAAGAAGCGAGACACCUGAGUGGCUCAGCAGUUAAGCAUCUGCCUUCAGCUCAGGUCAUGAUCCCAGGGUCCUGGGAUCGAGUCCCACAUCAGGCUCGGGGAGCAGGAGCCUGGUUCUCUCCCUCUGCCUGUGUUUCUGCCUCUCUCUGUGUCUCUCAUGAAUAA
rnacentral:lncRNA from 1 species